rnacentral:rRNA from 2 species
UACCGGCUGCUCGAGUGAUAGCCACUUUUACUGGGCUUAAAGCGUUCGUAGCUUGGUCGUUAAGUCUCUGGGGAAAUCUUUUGGCUCAACCUCGGAAGUGCAUUGGAAACUGGCGAUCUUGGAACCGGGAGAGGUAAGACGUACUUCGGGGGUAGGAGUGAAAUCUUGUAAUCCCCGAGGGACGACCGAUGGCGAAGGCAUCUUACCAGAACGGCUUCGACAGUGAGGGACGAAAGCUGGGGGAGCAAAC